UACGUAGGGCGCAAGCGUUGUCCGGAAUCAUUGGGCGUAAAGAGCGUGUAGGCGGCUUGGUAGGUCCGCUGUGAAAACUCGAGGCUCAACCUCGAGACGCCGGUGGAAACCAUCAGGCUAGAGUCCGGAAGAGGAGAGUGGAAUUCCUGGUGUAGCGGUGAAAUGCGCAGAUAUCAGGAAGAACACCCGUGGCUAAGGCGGCUCUCUAGUACGGUACUGACGCUGAGACGCGAAAGCGUGGGGAGCGAACAGG
rnacentral:rRNA from 1 species